rnacentral:tRNA from 1 species
GGGCAGGUUCCGGAGCGGCCAAACGGGGCAGACUGUAAAUCUGCUGGCGAUUGCCUUCGGAGGUUCGAAUCCUCCCCUGCCCACCA